UACGUAGGGGGCGAGCGUUGUCCGGAUUUAUUGGGCGUAAAGAGCGUGUAGGCGGUUCGGUAAGUCUGUCGUGAAAUCCUGAGGCUCAACCUUGGACGUGCGAUGGAUACUGCCGGGCUAGAGGAUGGUAGAGGCGAGUGGAAUUCUCGGUGUAGCGGUGAAAUGCGCAGAUAUCGGGAGGAACACCAGUGGCGAAGGCGGCACUCUGGGCCGGUACUGACGCUGAGGAGCGAAAGCGUGGGGAGCGAACAGG
rnacentral:rRNA from 1 species